rnacentral:rRNA from 1 species
CACGUAGGCACCAAGCGUUGUCCGGAUUUAUUGGGCGUAAAGAGCUCGUAGGCGGUUUGUCGCGUCUGCUGUGAAAACUCAGGGCUUAACCCUGAGCCUGCUUCCGAUACGGGCAGACUAGAGGUAUGCAGGGGAGAACGGAAUUCCUGGUGUAGCGGUGGAAUGCGCAGAUAUCAGGAGGAACACCGGUGGCGAAGGCGGUUCUCUGGGCAUUACCUGACGUGAGGAGCGAAAGUGUGGGGAGCGAACAGG